CACGUAGGGGGCGAGCGUUGUCCGGAAUCAUUGGGCGUAAAGAGCUCGUAGGCGGCUCAGUAAGUCGGGUGUGAAACCCUCAGGCUCAACCUGGGGACGCCACCCGAUACUGCUGUGGCUAGAGUCCAGUAGGGGAGUGUGGAAUUCCCGGUGUAGCGGUGAAAUGCGCAGAUAUCGGGAGGAACACCAGCGGCGAAGGCGGCACUCUGGGCCGAAACUGACGCUGAGGAGCGAAAGCGUGGGUAGCAAACAGGG
rnacentral:rRNA from 1 species